ACGCACGCUGGCGGCGUGCUUAACCCAUGCAAGUCGAACGGAAAGGCCCUGCUUUUGUGGGGUGCUCGAGUGGCGAACGGGUGAGUAACACGUGAGUAACCUGCCCUUGACUUUGGGAUAACUUCAGGAAACUGGGGCUAAUACCGGAUAGGAGCUCCUGCUGCAUGGUGGGGGUUGGAAAGUUUCGGCGGUUGGGGAUGGACUCGCGGCUUAUCAGCUUGUUGGUGGGGUAGUGGCUUACCAAGGCUUUGACGGGUAGCCGGCCUGAGAGGGUGACCGGCCACAUUGGGACUGAGAUACGGCCCAGACUCCUACGGGAGGCAGCAGUGGGGAAUAUUGCACGAUGGGCGGAAGCCUGAUGCAGCGACGCCGCGUGCGGGAUGACGGCCUUCGGGUUGUAAACCGCUUUCGCCUGUGACGAAGCGUGAGUGACGGUAAUGGGUAAAGAAGCACCGGCUAACUACGUG
rnacentral:rRNA from 1 species